rnacentral:rRNA from 1 species
GCUGGCGGCAUGCCUAACACAUGCAAGUCGAACGGGAGUAGCAAUACUCUAGUGGCGGACGGGUGAGGAAUACGUAGGAAUUUGCCCUUAAGUGGGGGAUAACCCGGGGAAACCCGGAUUAAUACCGCAUGAUCUCGAAAGAGCAAAGUGGGGGAUCGCAAGACCUCACGCUUUUGGAGAAGCCUACGUCGGAUUAGCUAGUUGGUGAGGUAAUGGCUCACCAAGGCGACGAUCCGUAACUGGUCUGAGAGGAUGAUCAGUCACACCGGAACUGAGACACGGUCCGGACUCCUACGGGAGGCAGCAGUGGGGAAUAUUGGACAAUGGGCGAAAGCCUGAUCCAGCAAUGCCGCGUGUGUGAAGAAGGCCUUCGGGUUGUAAAGCACUUUAAGUUGGGAAGAAAAAAUUCCACCUAAUACGUGGAGUCUUGACGGUACCGACAGAAUAAGCACCGGCUAACUCUGUGCCAGCAGCCGCGGUAAUACAGAGGGUGCAAGCGUUAAUCGGAUUUACUGGGCGUAAAGCGUGCGUAGGCGGUUCGUUAAGUCGGUUGUGAAAGCCCUGGGCUCAACCUGGGAAUUGCGGCCGAUACUGAUGGACUAGAGAACGGUAGAGGGAGGCGGAACUCCAGGUGUAGCGGUGAAAUGCGUAGAUAUCUGGAAGAACACCGAUGGCGAAGGCAACCUCCUGGGCCUGUUCUGACGCUGAGGCACGAAAGCGUGGGUAGCAAACAGGAUUAGAUACCCUGGUAGUCCACGCUGUAAACGAUGAGAACUUGACGUCGGGUCGCUUAGCGAUUCGGUGUCGAAGCUAACGCGCUAAGUUCUCCGCCUGGGGAGUACGGCCGCAAGGUUGAAACUCAAAGGAA